AUGCCGGCGACGGCGGGCCGUGUUCGCAUGCCGGCGAACAACCGCGUGCACAGCAGCGCGGCGCUGCAGACGCACAACAUCUGGAAGAGCACCAUCGGCUAUGACCCCUACGCUCCCGAGGGCAACAACCAGCAUGGCCCUUCCUCCUCCGUCCCCGCCAACGCCACCGCGCUUCCCUCCUCGGACCCCGCGGCCUCCUCCCAGAGCGCCUACGCCAGCUUCCAGGCCGUCCUAGCGCUCGCCCGCGCCGCCAGAUCCAACUCCGACGCGACCCGGGGCGCCUGCAAGAAGUGCGGCCGUGUUGGCCAUCUCACCUUCCAGUGCCGCAACUUCCUUUCUGGUAAGGAGCUCCCCAUGGACGACGACAUCCAAGCCAGCACGCAGGCCAAUCCCAGGUCCGAAGAGACCAGGAAGAAAUCCUCUGGUGGCAGGGAUGCUGACGCGAAGGGUUCUGACGAGGAAGAUGAGGACGAGAUUGACAGCGAUUCCUCCGAUUACGAUAUUGAUCCCGAGCUGGACAAGAUAAUCGCUCAACGUGAGCGUGCCAAGGGCCAUGGAGAGAUCCGCUCUGGGGAGGAAGGCAGGCAGACAAACCACCAUAGGAGCAGCAGCAGCAAGGGAAGAUCCAAGCAAAGGAAGAGUGACAGAGAGGACGACUCAAGGAAAGAUAGGAAGAGGAGGAGAAUCCACCACACGAAGGAUGACAUGUCGGAAGGGGAAGGGAGAAAACCUCACCGCCACCAUAAGAGGGGUCAUCACCGGAGGGAUGCAUAUGAUAGUGACAGUGCUGGUUGUGAGUCCCUAAAUGAUAGGAAGCGAUCCAGCAAGCAAAAGAGCCGCCGGAGGUCAGAAAGCCAUGGAUUGGUUGAGGAUAAAAGACAUGGUCCACGGGGCUGGGCGCCGUUUCCUGAGAGAAGAGCACUGAAGCGAUAA
rnacentral:rRNA from 1 species